ACGAACGCUGGCGGCGUGCUUAACACAUGCAAGUCGAACGGUGAAGCUCCAGCUUGCUGGAGUGGAUCAGUGGCGAACGGGUGAGUAACACGUGAGCAACCUGCCCCAGACUCUGGAAUAAGCGCUGGAAACGGCGUCUAAUACUGGAUACGAGAUCAAGCCGUAUGGUUAUGGUCUGGAAAGUUUUUCGGUUUGGGAUGGGCUCGCGGCCUAUCAGCUUGUUGGUGAGGUAAUGGCUCACCAAGGCGACGACGGGUAGCCGGCCUGAGAGGGCGACCGGCCACACUGGGACUGAGACACGGCCCAGACUCCUACGGGAGGCAGCAGUGGGGAAUAUUGCACAAUGGGCGAAAGCCUGAUGCAGCGACGCCGCGUGAGGGAUGACGGCCUUCGGGUUGUAAACCUCUUUCAGCAGGGAAGAAGCGAAAGUGACGGUACCUGCAGAAGAAGCACCGGCUAACUACGUG
rnacentral:rRNA from 1 species